CAAAUUUAAUGUUUUUAAUCAUCUUUUGCAGUUCAGCGUACAUAGGUUGAAAAGAGGUAUAAAUCCACACGAUAUUGUCAGGUACAACAUUUAUUACACGGUCACAGUUUUCCAAUACAUUUUUUACAAAAUAGGUCUUUCCACACCCGCUCGGACCCGCGAUUAAACAAGAAAAAGGAAAGAUAAACCUAGGAUCAAAUUCAAUUUCCUGCAUUUCUAAUACCCGAAAGGCAGAGUUGUUCCGUCAGCAAAGAGUCGUCUUUUGUCAUACACCACCCUAAUUUUUUUAUCAAAUGACACAUUUCUCAAUGCGAAACCCUUUUUAUCACGUCUGAUGCUGUGUUGACGGAUCUCGAUCGUGUUUCCCUCUUGUUUAUUACUCAGGUAACCCUCCACCAGCUCUCUGACACUGUCAAAGCUCACACGCUCACAAAAUUCCCGGGUCUGAGUGAUACCUUUCACACGCAUGACGACUUUCUUUUUAUUUCGUGUUUGGUACGCGUAACUCUUGGGACCCGCCGCUGCAAACUCUUGAAUGCUGUCACCAUCCAGUUCAUCCGUCAGGUCACCUAAAUAGUUACCCAGCUCUAGAGGUUUCUCACCCUCUUUGACCAGAUAGAUUAAACUAUCUGUGUCGAUGUAAAACACUCUGUCUUGUAGUUUUUCCAGAUAACUGUACAGCUUCAGUCGUGCGUGUGCUGUGGUGAAUGCUGCAAUAAAAACAUUACUCUGUUUACCUGGGGGUUGAACGUACCUGUCGGUGUAUUUCCACCUGAUGAGAGCUCUGUUGCUGUGGAGAACGGAAAAGUAUUCGACUUUGUAUUUACCUGAAAACAUGUAACUAAAGAAUUCUUUAGGAUCUGAGACAAUGGUGGUUUUAAACAAAUUAUCUCUCUGUGCAAACUUUCCCCACAAACUGUUGAGACACAAUUUAGCAACCUGUCUUUUCACGUCUGAUGCUGUGUUGACGGAUCUCGAUCGUGUUUCCCUCUUGUUUAUUACUCAGGUAACCCUCCACCAGCUCUCUGACACUGUCAAAGCUCACACGCUCACAAAAUUCCCGGGUCUGAGUGAUACCUUUCACACGCAUGACGACUUUCUUUUUAUUUCGUGUUUGGUACGCGUAACUCUUGGGACCCGCCGCUGCAAACUCUUGAAUGCUGUCACCAUCCAGUUCAUCCGUCAGGUCACCUAA
rnacentral:lncRNA from 1 species